rnacentral:rRNA from 1 species
GCUCCAGACUCCUACGGGAGGCAGCAGUGAGGAAUAUUGGUCAAUGGCCGGGAGACUGAACCAGCCAAGUCGCGUGAGGGAAGACGGCCCUACGGGUUGUAAACCUCUUUUGUCGGGGAGCAAAGAGAGUCACGUGUGACUCAUUGAGAGUACCCGAAGAAAAAGCAUCGGCUAACUCCGUGCCAGCAGCCGCGGUAAUACGGAGGAUGCGAGCGUUAUCCGGAUUUAUUGGGUUUAAAGGGUGCGUAGGCGGACAGUCAAGUCAGCGGUAAAAAUGCGGUGCUCAACGCCGUACAGCCGUUGAAACUGGCGUUCUUGAGUGGGCGAGAAGUAUGCGGAAUGCGUGGUGUAGCGGUGAAAUGCAUAGAUAUCACGCAGAACUCCGAUUGCGAAGGCAGCAUACCGGCGCCCAACUGACGCUGAAGCACGAAAGCGUGGGUAUCGAACAGGAUUAGAUACCCUAGUA